UCCCUGGUGGCUCAGCUGGUAAAGAAUCUACCUGCAAUGUGGGAGACCUGGGUUCGAUCCCUGGCUUGGGAA
rnacentral:tRNA from 1 species